rnacentral:rRNA from 1 species
AGCAGCCGCGGUAAUUCCAGCUCCAAUAGCGUAUAUUAAAGUUGUUGCAGUUAAAAAGCUCGUAGUUGAAUUUCGGGAUUGACACAUCGGUCGUGCCUUAAGGGGUAUGAACUGGUGUAGUCAAUUUCUCACCUUCUGGAGAACCGCGAUGCCCUUAAUUGGGUGUCACGGGGAACCAGGACCUUUACUUUGAAAAAAUUAGAGUGUUUAAAGCAGGCAUUUUGCUUGAAUACAUUAGCAUGGAAUAAUAAAAUAGGACGGCACGAUUCUAUUUUGUUGGUUUCUGGGAUCACCGUAAUGAUUAAUAGGGAUAGUUGGGGGCAUUAGUAUUCAAUUGUCAGAGGUGAAAUUCUUGGAUUUAUUGAAGACUAACUACUGCGAAAGCAUUUGCCAAGGAUGUUUUCAUUAAUCAAGAACGAAAGUUAGGGGAUCGAAGACGAUCAGAUACCGUCGUAGUCUUAACCAUAAACUAUGCCGACUAGGAAUCAGACGAUGUUAAUUUUAAUUGACUUCGUUGGCA